UUGUGCUCAAUCUGUAUCAAUGCUCACUCAUCUAUUGUUAUUGUAAGCAGAACAAUGAGACUGUGAAUUCGGACGCAGAACUACUUAUUUUGAAGUCGACUUCCCAAAGUUGCGUUUUCCAGCAACCGAUUGACAAUAAUGAAAAUAUCGACGAUCUCAUUCAUAAACCUGAUAGUCAAAUACAGCCAGCAGCAGUCGAGAGUUCGCGCACUCAAGCUAAUUGUGAAACGAAGCUACACAAUUUGCUGCUGAGCGAUGUUCAUGGUCGCAUGAUCCUAGCGGUCUAUGAAACGCAAAAGUUUUUGACUCCUAGCGCACGUAACCGCUUGGUACGAUUCGUAAUAAAGCAGGAGCAAGAUCAUGCCUUCAAAGAUUUAUAUCAGGGAGAGCGAUUGAAUGAAUUUGUGAUACCCGCUGAGAAAUUUUCUUCUUGGGCAAAUGAAAUUGUCGCAACAUUUCCAGGAGAGCGCUUUGAAGUGUAUUUCACACCAUUCAAGACCGUGAAUGGUCAGCAGAUUAAUGCUAGCGGUAAACUGUGGCACCACUAUAAUUAUACGAAAGGGGUUAUGAAAAAAAAUUCCGUCUUACGGAAACGUUGUGAACCAAUCAACAUUCCUCCUAUUGCCCAAGACACAAUCGACAAAGCCAAUAUUCUACGAACAAAAGUUGAUCCAUGGUAUGAAACUAUACAGCUGUGGAAUGAGACAUAUGAUUUCCGGAUAAAAUACUUAAUGAAUGAAAGGCCAACAGUAUCGCAAUAUCUCGAAUCCUUCGCUUGUUUGCGUAUGCAGAAAGCAAUUGAUUUAUACGAGUCUGAUUUUGUUCGUCAGUAUCCUCAAAAAUCAUCGCUAUUAAAAGAUAACUGGGGAAAGACGCGAAGUUACCUUAUAAAGCGACUUCAGAAUCUUAAAAUUUCUAACGUCGAAGAGAAAGGAUAUAUUCAUUUGUUACCAACGUUAUCCUCAGAUGGUCAAAAUACGAUUCUUCUUUAUUUAUUACCGCAUUUGAUUGCUCCUGGCCGCUUUUUGCGAAAACGAAAAACUCUCGCAACACGAGCAAUAUUUAUGAAUCUGCAGACCCUGAAGACGAAGUGAAUGUGGCCAAAAAACUCAGUUUCCAGGAACGAAGAGACGCAUUUGUUGUUCAUUUGCACGAUGCAUUUUCAUUAGACGAAAUUGUACAGCAGGCACAAAGUCGGAGAUCAAGAAGCGAUGCACUAAAUAAACAGCCGAUUGCAGUCGUCGUGGGGCCGUUAGCUCAACCAGCAACA